rnacentral:rRNA from 1 species
CGGACGGGUGAGUAAUACAUAGGAAUCUACCCAGUAGUGGGGGAUAACUUGGAGAAAUCCAUGCUAAUACCGCAUAUGCCCUACGGGGCAAAGCAGGGGACCCUCGGGCCUUGCGCUAUUGGAUGAGCCUAUGUCGGAUUAGCUUGUUGGUGGGGGUAACGGCCUACCAAAGCGACGAUCCGUAGCUGGUCUGAGAGGAUGAUCAGCCACACUGGGACUGAGACACGGCCCAG